CCCUGAACUGGGUGGUGGCUGACUGCCAGCAAACCCCAACUCCCACCUACCAACCUGGGCAGAGAGAGUGGCUGUCAACCCAAGACCUUCCCUGGCCUUUCCCUGUCUUGGAUUCCCCAGAUCCGUGAGGAUUCACACAACGUUCCAGGUUGUCAAACCUGUGAAGGAGAGUCCCUUGUUUCCUGCCUCCAGAUACUUCUCUUCCUGCCAUUGUGUGUUUCCCGCCUGUGUGAUUGCCAACCCUGCCCCAAUUUGUUUCACCUGUCCCUCAUUAUCCUUCCCUCCCUAGUGUAUUUAGUCUGUGUGUUCUCAUUGCCAGUUCAUCUUUGUACCCAGUGUCAAGUGUUCUAGUCUUUUUCCUAGUGUCUAGUUCUCCUUGUGUUUUUGAUCUGUGCUUUGUUUUAGCUGAACCUUGCCUUUGUCUUCUAGUUGCUGGAUUUGUUUGCAUGAUCUUCUGACUGACUCCCUACUCCCUACCGAACCUUUGAAAGUAAAGAUUGUUUUUGAUCAAGA